CAAGGGCUGAGGGGGACUGCUGCGGCCUCGUGGUGGAAUCUGGUUUGCAACGCGAUUUGUGCAGUCCGUGUUACAAACGUUGCAGGCAAUUCCGAGACCCCCUCCGUGACUUCAUCAGAGGGUUUAUGUGGAGCUUCAGAACUGUAUGGAACCAAUUGUGAGAAGAAUAACCUACUACUGGUUUACUGCAAGACAGAUGAUGUAAGAAUCUGCAGAAAUCUGCUGUUUGCGUUCUUGAACACAUGGUGGGAGGCUUUCCUACAGUUUCUUCUAUAGGUCCGGGAGCAGCUCCCAGAGUUGUGGUGAUGAGUAGACAAGAACUUCUGGGGAGGAUGGUUUACCUGCAUCCUCAUCGGUGUCUGAAGAAGAAUGAAGGAAGGAACCGAACGGAGCCAGCUGAAACCAGAGAUUAUCAUCAGUGAGGAAUCCUGCCUGGGGAGCUUCCACCAACCAGGAGAGCAGUUAGUUUGAGAUAUUUUAAAGCAUUUUUUUUUUAUGGCACGGCA
rnacentral:lncRNA from 1 species